AUCAUCAUCAUCAUCAUCAUCAUCAUCAACACAGCACAUGGGCACUGGACGUGAUGAACUUUAGCACUUGACUGCUCAUGUUUGCACCUAUCUUCCUGUGAAACACUGAGGAAAUACACACAAGGAAACAUUUUAAAGGACUUCAUGACAUAUUUUAUGUAUAUGAUUUUGAAUGAAGGUUUAGUUUGAAUGCUCUCUGACUCUGACUUUUUAUAAAUCAUUUUUGACAAAAAGAUUUAAAACAAUUGCAGUGUUAUCUGAUAUUUUUGGCCAGUUUAUGAAAUUGCAUUGGCACUGGUGUAUAUUCAUAAGGGACGAGCGUCAAUAUUGUGUACAUUCCUUCAGAUAAGAUUAUAGAUGUUUAUACGGUUUCACAGUUCAUUCCACAUGGCCUUUUUUGUAACAUAGUUUCAGUAAAUAUUCUGUCAUCAUAUUUUAACAGUCAGUGUUUGCAAGUGAAAGGUAUCUGUGAUUGCAAAUUGUUGAUUUAAAACAGAGGUCUCACUAAUAAAUUCACUUUUCGAUUGCCGUUGAAAGUCUGAACACCACCAAGUAGAGUCCUCUAAGAUAUACAGUAUAUUUUCAGUAUAUAUUUCCAACUGUCUCUGUAUCCCAAUUAUUGAGACGGAUCCGGUACAUUCCCUGUUUUAUUUAUAUUACAUCAUUGACUCUGUACACAUUUAUUUCUAUGCCUUGAUGUUCAAAAAUGUGGAUUUUCUCAGGAAUAAAGUGAUAUUUUUAUUCUGAA